CCUACGGGUGGCAGCAGUAGGGAAUCUUCCACAAUGGGCGAAAGCCUGAUGGAGCAACGCCGCGUGGGUGAAGAAGGUCUUCGGAUCGUAAAACCCUGUUGUUAGAGAAGAAAGUUCGUGAGAGUAACUGUUCACGUUUCGACGGUAUCUAACCAGAAAGCCACGGCUAACUACGUGCCAGCAGCCGCGGUAAUACGUAGGUGGCAAGCGUUAUCCGGAUUUUUUGGGCGUAAGGGGAACGCAGGCGGUCUUUUAAGUCUGAUGGGAAAGCCCUCGGCUUAACCGGAGUAGUGCAUUGGAUACUGGGAGACUUGAGUGCAGAAGAGGAGAGUGGAACUCCAUGUGUAGCGGUGAAAUGCGUAGAUAUAUGGAAGAACACCAGUGGCGAAGGCGGCUCUCUGGUCUGUAACUGACGCUCAUGCACGAAAGCGUGGGUAUCGAACAGGAUUAGAUACCCCAGUAGUC
rnacentral:rRNA from 1 species